rnacentral:lncRNA from 1 species
AAGAAUGGGAUAAAGAGUUGGCUUACAAUCGCCACUUCACACAAUACAUAAAUAAAUCAUACAUCAUUCAAGAUACACACAUAGGUCCGACUACGGAACCAAGAUAAAAGAAGACAACCCAACUGCUAGAUCCCUGGUCGUCCCAACUGGGCUCCACUACUGAUCAACCAGAAAAGAACAACACAACGAACAAGAUCUUCAUCGAGCUCCCACUUGAGCUCAGUAGCGUCAUCUGCACUGGUCUCAUCGGCACCUGCAACUGUUUGGGAAGUAUCUGUGAGUCACGAGGACUCAGCAAUCUCACACCCGCGAGAUCAAGACUAUUUAAGCUUAAGGAAAGGAUGGGGUAAUGAGGUGGAGCUGCAGCAAGCACUAGCAUAUAUGGUGGCUAACAUACGCAAAUAAGAGCGAGAAGAGAAGCAACGGAACGGUCGUGAUCUAGCAAUGAUCAAGAAGUGAUCCUGAACCCCUACUUACGUCAAACAUAACCCAGAAACCGUGUUCACCUCCCGGACUCCGCCGAGAAGAGACCAUCACGGCUACACACGCGGUUGAUGCGUUUUAAUUAAGGUCAAGUGUCAAAUUCUCUACAACCGGAUAUUAACAAAUUCCCAUCUGCCACAUAACCGCGGGCACGGCUUUUGAAAGAUAAUACCCUGCAGGGGUGUCCCAACUUAGCCCAUCAUAAGCUCUCACGGUCAACGAAGGAUAAACCUUCUCCCAGGAAGACCCGAUCAGUCUCGGAAUCCCGGUUUACAAGACAUUUCGACAAUGGUAAAACAAGACCAGCAAAGCCGCCCGAAUGUGCCGACAAAUCCCGAUAGGAGCUGCACAUAUCUCGUUCUCAGGGCACACCGGAUGAACACUACGUACAACUAAAACCAGACCUCGAGUUUCCCCGAGGUGGCGCUGCAAGUGGCUCUAGUUUGGACCAGCACUCAGAGGAACACUGGCCCGGGGUUUUAAAUAAAGAUGACCCUUGAGUCUGCAGAACCCAAGGGAAAAAGGCUUAGGUAGGCAAAUGGUAAAACCAAGGUUGAGCCUUGCUGGAGGAGUUUUAUUCAAAGCGAACUGUCAAGGGGGUCCCAUAAAUCACCCAACCGCGUAAGGAACGCAAAAUCAAGGAACAUAACACCGGUAUGACGGAAACUAGGGCGGCAAGAGUGGAACAAAACACCAGGCAUAAGGCCGAGCCUUCCACCCUUUACCAAAUAUAUAGAUGCAUUAAUUAAGAUAAGAGAUAUUGUGAUAUCCCAACAUAAAUAGAAUCCAACAUGGAGAAAUCUUCAUCUUCACCUGCAUCUAGCAAUGCUAUAAGAGGGGCUGAGCAAAAGCGGUAACAUAGCCAAACAACGGUUUGCUAGGAAGGGUGACAAGGUUAGAGGUUCAUGGCAAUUUGGGAGGCUUGAAGAGCAAGUGAAUAGGUAACGCGGCAUAGCAAUAGAGCGAACGGCUAGCAAGCAAAGAUAGAAGUGAUUUUGAGGGUAUGGUCAUCUUGCCUGAGAUCCCGCAAGGAAGAAGAACGAGUCCAUGAAGAAGACAAGCGGACGUAGUCGAACGAAUCCUCACAACUCCGGAAAGAAACCGAAGCUCACGAGAGAAGCAACCCGGAAAGAAACAAACAACAUAGUAAACAACCCCCACAUACACAUGGCAUGAUGCACAAACAAGUAUGAUGCAUGUCCGGUUUAAAUAUGCAUGGCAAAGUGAAACAAACAAUACUACAAAUUAAGUGGAGUUCAAUAUGCAACGAGUUGCAUAUUGACGAAACACCACAUCAAUUAUUUAGUUCUCUCUCGUUUAUGGACCCAACAAUAUUAAAUGUUUUUAGCCAUGGCAAGAGGUGAAGCAUAUGGAAACUAUCUAUGAAGGCAAGUUUGAAUGAGGCCGGAAAUAACAAACGACAAUACCGGAAAAUCCUCAUGUCAUUUAACAAUUUUAAUGCAACCAUCAAUUAUUUACAUUUUAAAUGUUGUUAUCAUGAUGCGGAUGACAUAUGCAAGGUUUAGGCAAUUUUUAUGAAAAUG